rnacentral:rRNA from 1 species
UACGUAGGGCGCAAGCGUUGUCCGGAAUUAUUGGGCGUAAAGAGCUCGUAGGCGGCCAGUUGCGUCCGCUGUGAAAUCCCCAGGGCUUAACCCUGGGCGUGCAGUGGAUACGGGCUGGCUGGAGGCAGGCAGGGGAGAACGGAAUUCCCGGUGUAGCGGUGAAAUGCGCAGAUAUCGGGAGGAACACCGAUGGCGAAGGCAGCUCGCUGGGACGGUACUGACGCUGAGACGCGAAAGCGUGGGGAGCGAACAGG